rnacentral:rRNA from 1 species
UACGAAGGGGGCUAGCGUUGUUCGGAAUUACUGGGCGUAAAGCGCACGUAGGCGGAUAUUUAAGUCAGGGGUGAAAUCCCGGGGCUCAACCCCGGAACUGCCUUUGAUACUGGGUAUCUCGAGUCCGAGAGAGGUGAGUGGAAUUCCGAGUGUAGAGGUGAAAUUCGUAGAUAUUCGGAGGAACACCAGUGGCGAAGGCGGCUCACUGGCUCGGUACUGACGCUGAGGCGCGAAAGCCAGGGGAGCGAACGGG